UACGAAGGGGGCUAGCGUUGCUCGGAAUUACUGGGCGUAAAGGGCGCGUAGGCGGAUGGCACAGUCAGAUGUGAAAUUCCCGGGCUUAACCUGGGGGCUGCAUUUGAUACGUGUUGUCUUGAGUUCGGAAGAGGGUCGUGGAAUUCCCAGUGUAGAGGUGAAAUUCGUAGAUAUUGGGAAGAACACCGGUGGCGAAGGCGGCGACCUGGUCCGACACUGACGCUGAGGCGCGAAAGCGUGGGGAGCAAACAGG
rnacentral:rRNA from 1 species